GACGAACGCUGGCGGUAUGCUUAACACAUGCAAGUCGAACGAGACGAGAUGGAAGGAUCCUUCGGGUGACGGAAAUCUUAGAAAGUGGCGAACGGGUGAGUAACGCGUGGGUAACCUGCCCUAUGGAAAGGAAUAGCCUCGGGAAACUGGGAGUAAUGCCUUAUAAUACAUUGAAGUCGCAUGGCUUUGAUGUUAAACGCUCCGGUGCCAUAGGAUGGACCCGCGUCCCAUUAGCUAGUUGGUGAGAUAACAGCCCACCAAGGCGACGAUGGGUCACCGGUCUGAGAGGGCGAACGGGCACACUGGAACUGAGACACGGUCCAGACUCCUACGGGAGGCAGCAGUGGGGAAUAUUGCGCAAUGGGGGAAACCCUGACGCAGCAAUACCGCGUGAGUGAAGAAGGUUUUCGGAUCGUAAAGCUCUGUUAUUGGGGAAGAAAAAAGACGGUACCCAAGAAGAAAGUCCCGGCUAACUACGUGCCAGCCGCCGCCGUAA
rnacentral:rRNA from 1 species